ensembl:lncRNA
AUUUAAGGGUUAGCAGUGGAGGUAUCUUGCUGUAGUCUAGGGCCUUACUACUUUGCUGUUGUUGCUGUGCUUUCUAUUUCAUUGCUGUACUGCUCACUUUUUUGGGGUGCACUUAGUAUGGUAUUGUCUUUUUGUAAAUAACACUUCUCAAGAUCAACUUGUCUAGGAAAGCCUUAUGUUACAAAUCUUAAUUGGGGUUAGAGUUUGGGGGCCCCUGUUUCUUGCUUAUUAGGACAUUAAUAUCCUCAUGAAGAGAGGAGCGUACAGCACUGCUGCUUGCCUUGGCUUUUUCUGGAAUGGCACUGAAGUAUGAAGUAUAAAAGCACUGAAAUAUUCAAGGUACAAGCCGUUUUGUACUAGGCAUGUUCUUCAUUCAAGACUGUUAGCAUUAGGCUGUACACAAAAUGUUCCAGUUCCUCUUGAGACCUCCUUGUUCCAUAACUGAUGUGAUGGGGGCAGUGGGCCGACUUCCUCAUUUUCCAGUGCUGAUCUAUAUCAAGUGAUCAACUAGAGCAACUGUUGGCACCUUGUCCCAGAACCUCUGCUAAACACAAUCACCUCUAGCAAAGAUACGGAUGACUAAAUAAUUCAGUCCAAUGGAACCAGGACUAUUACACUUUGAAAUUACAGCUGCUUGGAGUAGGAAAAGAGUGUCUUGUCCUCUGCUCCUGGUGAUGAGGAGAAUCUCUCUCUGAAGGAUGGCAUUUGAAAAACAAACAAGAGGGCUGGAUGGAUACUCUGGGAGUUUUACAGCUCCACUUUUGAAAAAUACUGUAGAACUUCUUUGUACAGCUGCACAGUGUAGAAUUGUCUAAGCUCCAUUACAUCAUGGUGUAUUGCAUUGUGAAAUGAAGUGAUUGCAAUGUGAUUGGAACAGCUGAUGUAUUUCAAAACACUUGACAGAAGGGAAAGUGUAAUGGAAAAUCAAAUGGAUAUACAUGGAUAGCAGAAGUGAUCCAAACAAAUUUUGAACAAAAUUAUCUUUGCUAUCCCUUUUGUAAAAACAACUUUGUGUUAGCAGAUUGAUUUGUAUUUAUGAUGGUAUAGAUCUUCUCGUGUUCAAUUUCCUUAUACGAAUCUUACAGAAAACAAUAGUUGGAUACUGCAGUAUAAAAUAAUAUAAAUAAAGAAUUUAUAUAUUAAAUUUAGAUAAUAUUUAGUCAUGAGUUUGAAGCCCUUAUUUGCUAUUUCUUUUCAUUUAGUUGAUCAUAUCUAUUUCUAAUCAAGUGGGACAAUAAAGUUAACAUGAAUGG